rnacentral:tRNA from 1 species
UAUUAAAGAGUUCAAAUCGAAAAUAAGGAUUGCGACCUCGAUGUUGGAUUAAAAUUUGUAUUUGGUGU